rnacentral:rRNA from 1 species
UACGUAGGUGGCAAGCGUUGUCCGGAUUUACUGGGCGUAAAGGAUGCGUAGGCGGACAUUUAAGUCAGAUGUGAAAUACCCGAGCUUAACUUGGGUGCUGCAUUUGAAACUGGGUGUCUAGAGUGCAGGAGAGGUAAGUGGAAUUCCUAGUGUAGCGGUGAAAUGCGUAGAGAUUAGGAAGAACACCAGUGGCGAAGGCGACUUACUGGACUGUAACUGACGCUGAGGCACGAAAGCGUGGGGAGCAAACAGG